CAAACUGACUGGGUUUGAAGGUGUGAUGCAGCUGGUCGGCAGCAAUACGAAACCAGAGACAGACAACACAAUCUAGAAAGAUGGUUUGGUUUGAGAGCUCGAUUCCCGCUGCCAUCGCCUCCGCUCAGCAACAGAACUUCAUCUUUGUCGUUGUCAUUACAGGCGAAGAUGGGCAGUCUGCACAGCUGAUGUCCAGCUGGGAGGACGAAAAAGUCUCUGAAGCAGCACAGACUUGUUGUGUGGCGAUCAAAGUGGAUGCCAAGAGCGAGACAUGUGUUCAGUUCACCCAGAUCUACCCAGUAGUGUACAUUCCAUCCAGUUUCUUCAUUGGAGAGAAUGGAAUUCCCCUUGAGGUCAUUGCCGGAAGCGUGUCUGCUGACGAACUCACGAAAAGAAUCAGUAAAGUCAAACAGAUGCAAGGUCAGCAGGUUUGUGGUGGGAUCGUAGCAUCAACAGAACCAGAAGCUCUAGCAACCACAGAAGCUGUCCCAGUACCAGGCACAUCAAAAGAAUCCCUCUCCAGACCAGCAGAUGAAAGUGGCCUUUUGGGGGCUGAGGGCCCUGGGGAGGACAGAAGUGCAUCAUCAGAUGACACCUCUCACAGUUCUCAGUGUGAUGGAACCCUGAAUGCCAAUGUAGACAGGUGCCUGUUCGGGGGGAGGGGGAACUGGGGAGAAUAGCGCGAUCCUCCCACACACUACGUCCCCCUGGCGAAACUCCUCACUGUCAGGUGAAAAGAAGCAGCUGGCGAGUCCACAUGUAUUGGAGGAGGCAUGUGGUAGUCUGCAGCCCUCCCCGGAUCGGCAGAGGGGUUGGAGCAGCGACUGAGACGGCUCGGAAGAGUGGGGUAAUUGGCCAGGAGCAGUGGGCAGCUGCAGCAUCUGGGGACCAACUCCAGUCCUUUUUACCAUUGCCUUUGUCACCUCCGGAGGAAACCCAUAUAGACAGGGGGAGAACGUGCAAACUCCACACGGAAAGGACUUGGGACGGCCUGGGGUUCGAACCUAGGACCUUCUUGCUGUGAGGAAACAUUGCUAACCAAUGGGCCACCGUGCAGCACAAUAUAAUAUCGAUAUUGUGAUUCGAGCAAGAUAUUGUCUGGGGUUUUGGUUUUCAUAAUACUGAGAUGUACCUUAAAUGUUGUCCUUCCCUGGUCUUAAAGGCUGCAUUACAGUAAAAUGAUACAAUUUUCUGAACUUAUAGGACGGUUUUAGCAGAGUGAAAUAAACAAUGAAUGUCUCUACCUGCUUGGUCAU